rnacentral:lncRNA from 1 species
CUAGGGCCUAGAAGUUUGAAGCAAGAGGAUUUCUGAGAGUUUGAAGCCUGGCUGGCCCAUAUGAUCCUGUCUCAAAAAGUGAAAACACUCAGUUUCACUAGGGAUAUAAUUCAGUCAGUGUAUAGAAUGGUUGUCCAGCGUGCUUGCUUGAAGCCCUGGGUUUGACCUUCAGCCCCACAUAAAACCAGAUGAUAUGGCACAGUAACCGACUCGAGGACUUCGAGGACAAAGUCAUCCUAAGCAACAACCCUCUCUGCCAGCUACGGCCUGACUCCCACAGUGUAUAAUGCUGAGAACAGCCAUCGCUUAGUAAAUGUCUACUAGAUGCAAGUCAUGUUACAUAACCAUGUAAAAACUAGAUGCCAGCCAUCUUUAAUCCCAA